rnacentral:rRNA from 1 species
CCUACGGGUGACAGCAGUGGGGAAUAUUGCACAAUGGGCGAAAGUCUGAUGCAGCAACGCCGCGUGAAGGAAGAAGGGUUUCGGCUCGUAAACUUCUAUCAACAGGGACGAAAGAAAUGACGGUACCUGAAUAAGAAGCCCCGGCUAACUACGUGCCAGCAGCCGCGGUAAUACGUAGGGGGCAAGCUUUAUCCGAAUUUACUGGGUGUAAGGGGUGAGUAGGCGGCAUGGUAAUCCAGAGGUGAAUGCCUUGGGCUUAACCCGAGGAUUGCAUUUGGAACUAUCAAGCUAGAGUACAGGAGAGGAAAGCGGAAUUCCUAGUGUAGCGGUGAAAUGCGUAGAUAUUAGGAAGAACAUCAGUGGCGAAGGCGACUAUCUGGACUGAAACUGACGCUGAGGCACGAAAGCGUGGGGAGCGAACAGGAUUAGAUACCCGAGUAGUC